UCACUGCGGCCAGGGCUUGGGUCAGCGGGCAAACAAACUGGUCACUCCACCCGAUUUCUCUUUACAGAUGCUGCCAGACUUGCUGAGCUGUUCCAGCAGUUUCUGUUUUUGUCUCUGAUGUACAGCAUCCGCAGUUCUUUCGGUUUUUAUUUUCUUGGGUCCGCGGAGACGGCGUGGAAGAAGGUUUCAAGGGGUUAAUGCUCAGUAGGAGUUUUAAUGAAGCUGGAGGAGGAUAAGAUGUCUCAUAAUUGGGCUGAGAGACUGAAGACUGGCAGUGGAGUGGACAUCAGGCUCCUCAUCUUGGCUGCCCUGCACACAUCACUGGAAUUGAUACAACCAAAAUGGAGGAACUGGGAGAAUGGAACAGAAUAUUCACAAGAAGUAGCAUGUAAUGGACCAGACUGAAUCCUGCCAUGUGAAUAAUAUUAAAAUUGAAUGGCUGCAGUAAUAAGGUCUAUCCAAACAACAUGGGAUUUUUGUCCUUAAAUUUGUUCAAAAACGUUAAGAAUUUAUGAUCAGGAUGUACAAUUAUCUCAGACACAAAACUGGUAAUAUAAAUGUUGAAAGUUUGCAACGCAAACACCAACCUCAAGGUUUCCUUUUCAACUGCAGAAUAUUUCUGUUGAUGAUUAUUCAAUUUUUUGGAAAAAACAUCCAAUAGUUCUUUGUGUUUUCUCAUCAUCUUAUUGUAAGAUGACAGCACUGACACCCAUAUUGCCUACAAUUGGGUAAUUCCAAAAUGACUUCAUUGGUUAGUCUUUGAAUGUGGCUGGUACAUUUUUCAAACCAAAUAGGAUGACUUUAAACUGGUACAGUCCAUUUGGUGUCAUGAAAGUAAACAAUUCCUUCAUUCUUUCGGACAAAGGUAUCUGCUAGUACCCUCUGAGUAAGCCUAACUGAGAAAUAUAAGUUUCUUAUCCCACCUUCUCAAUGCAUUCUUCCAAAUGUGAAAUACUAUAUGAAUCAGAUUUGUAACAGCACUGACUUUGUGAUAGCCCAUACAUAAUCGUUGGGUACCAUCUGGUUUUGGCAUCAUUAUUAUGGGUGAGCUUCAUUCACAGCAAAUCACUUUAAUUAUUAUUGUCUUUGAGCUUGCAUUCAAUCUAUUUCUGAGAUUUGACUUUAGAGGGUUAAGUCCAUAAGGAUGUUGCUUAAUUAGAACAGCAUUUCCUGUCUCUACAUCCUGUGUAAUUAGAUUAGUACUUCCCAGCUUAUUCCCACAUAUCUCCUCAUGUGUUUAUAAUAACUCUUGCAGAUCAUUUUGAUUUUCAUCUUGAAGGUAACUCAAUAAUUUAUCCCAAUUUUUGAGAACUUUCUCAUUGCCAAAUUUAAUUUGAGGAAUGUCCAAUCAGGAUUGUCUAAACUUGGUUCUUAACUCCAUGUUGUAUCCAGUAACACAUUCUCCCUUUUUUUCCCCUUCUCUAUCAAAAUACCUUUUAAGCAUUUUCAUAUGACACAGUCUGUGAGAUUUGUUUUCUCUCUGGCAUUCUUACUAAAUAGUUCACCUUACUCAAUUUCUUUUCAAAUUGAUAAGGCCCACUAAACCUUGUUUUUAAAUUUUCACCUACCACAAGGAAUAACAGUAACAAUUUAUCUCCGCUAGCAAAGUUGUGAAUUUUUGAUUUCUUGCCUGCUUUCUGUUUCAUCACAUAUUGUGUUAUUUUCAAAUGCUCUAUAGUGAUUUCACCUGCUCUAUCUAACCUUUCCCUAAAAUUCAACACAUUAUCCAAAUAUGUAGUCUUUGAACCCUGACUCAUCAAUUUCUCCUUAAUUGGUUUCAGUGGUCCUCUUACCUCAUGCUGAAAAACCAAUUCAAAUGGACUGAAUUUAGUUGAUUCAUUAGGUGCAUUCCUAAUUGUAAAUGAACAAAUGGAAUUCUUUCAUCCCCGCCUCUAGAUAGUCUUGACCUAAACUGUCAACAUGGCCUUUAAAGUUUGAUGCCACUGUUCUAAUGAUCCUUGCAAUUCAGGAUGGUAUAUAGUGGAUUUAAAUUGUUUUAUUCCUAAGUUGUCAGUAACUUCCUUGAAUAAGUUUGAUGUAAUAUUUGACCCUUGAUCCAAUUUGUAUCCCUGUGAGUAGUCUAUGUCCUGUAACAUAUUUGAGUAACUCUUCUGCAAUCCUUUUAGCUGUGCUGGAAUGGCCUCUUGAAACGUAGUAGAUGUGUUCAUUAUUGUCACCUAAUACUGAUUUCCAGAGUUUGUUUUAGGUAUGGAUCCUUUGCAAUCAAUUAAGACUCUUGUAAAAGGUUCCCCAAAUGCAGGAAUGGGUGUUAAGGGUGCUAGUAUUAUCACUGCCUGUGAUUUUCCAAUUACCAGACACAUGACUUGUUUGACAAGAUUCAACCACAUCCUUAUGCAGUCCAGGCCAAUAAAGAUGUUCUUGUA